rnacentral:rRNA from 1 species
UACGGAGGGGGCUAGCGUUAUCCAGAAUGAUUGGGCGUAAAGGGUUCGUAGAUGGUUCUUUGUAGUUUUAGGUUAAAAAUCAGAAAAAAUUUAGAUAAGGCCUAAAAACAAAUUUACUUGAGUAUAAGAGAAGAUAACAUAACUUCAUAUAUAGAAGUCAAAUUCGAUAAAUUAUGAAAGAAUGCCACAAGCGAAAGCAGUUAUCUAGAUUAUUACUGACAUUGAGGAACGAAAGCUCAGGGAGCAAACAGGAUUAGAUACCCUAGUAGU